UACGGAGGGGGCAAGCGUUGUUCGGAAUUACUGGGCGUAAAGAGCGUGUAGGCGGCUUGGCAAGUCUGGUGUGAAAUCUUGCGGCUCAACCGCAAGCGGUCACUGGAAACUGCCUCGCUAGAGUCCGGAAGAGGAGAGCGGAAUUCCUGGUGUAGCGGUGAAAUGCGCAGAUAUCAGGAGGAACACCGGUGGCGAAGGCGGGUCUCUGGGCCGUAACUGACGCUGAGGAGCGAAAGCGUGGGUAGCAAACAGG
rnacentral:rRNA from 1 species